rnacentral:sRNA from 1 species
UUGUGAGAGAAAAAUGUGUGUGUUAUUUCUAAGUUGCUGCCUUUUGGGGAUCUUUAUCCCACAGCAACAGAUCGGUCGAGUUCCAUUUGCCUUCCCCGCCUUCUCCCUGGCGUCUUCAUUUCGCCAACUCCCCCAUUUGUACUUGGCUCAAGGUCUGUUUCCUUGGGAAGCUCAUAGUAAGAAAAACACAUGAAAAAACACAGGCUCAGAGAUGGGGAGGAACUUCCCAGGCGGCAACGGAGACAGGACACGGACCGGUCACAUCACACAAACUCUCCCUGCUGUCACAACUUUGUUCCAAGACCUGGCUUGUAGAAUCCCAACUGAGAUGGGGCUUCGCACCAAGCAUGGCAUAUGGAGGUGAAUUAUGGAAAGACCACAUGGCUGAGGACAAGAACACAGGAACCCCUGACUACCAACUGCUCAGAAAUGGAAGCAGAACCAACAUGAAGAGCCCGGAGAUGACCCAUCUUUGGACUUCAGCGGCAGAGAGUGAUUAUAGUGUUUUCAGUGAAGGAAUAUUACACACCCCUGAAAAGCUCAGUCCUCUACUCAAAGCACAGGGCACCCUGUCUUCAAGCCAGCCCCUGAGCAUGCCACUCUGGAGACAGGCUUGCAGAUAAGGCUGCUCAUCUCUGUGCCUCUAGGUGGCAGGUUUUUGUGUGUUUUUAUAUGCCAAGUCUACAACCUCAAUUCCUCGCAUCCAUUUUGACCAGCUGCCUUCAGUUAUCACCAUUUUUUAAGCUUUUUGAAUAAUGAUUUGUUGACGGUUUAUGUGAAGGGAGAAUGGCUUGACUAAACGUAUGGAGCCUGGCCCGUGAUAUUAGCCAUCUCUGAGCUUGAGAGUUCUCUACUGUUCCCUGAGCCGGAUCACGUGGACAGGUGACAGAUUCACUGCCAGCAUGCUGGGUGAAGUUUAUUUCUACAUAGCACAAUAAAACAGUUCUUAAGAAAACAAUUGUUUCCUGGGACAUAAGAACUGUAUUUAUUCUAUUGAGUUCACUGUGAAGUCACUGGCUGAUUGAAAACCUUUUUGAAAAGAGAGCAUCCACGGUGUAGCUAGAAGAAAGGGAGACUGUGUAGAAAUCAUGUGGCCUUUGUGGGUAUGGAGUUUGGGGGUGCAUGUUAAAUGGAGAAGAGGAGAAAGAGGGUGCAGACUUGGCUAGCUGACUACAUAUUUUCACCACAUACUACAGGGGUUUAUGGGCAUUCUGACUUGUGAGGUAAAUUGAUGGUACUAGACUGUCUUGGAAUGCUUGAAGAAAAAUAUCCUCCCUGCUCUGGUCAGUCUUGUGGGCUCAGCCAUUAUAGAGGCUGUCCAUGGUACCUAGAGGUGGAUAAUUACUUAGGUUGGCUGGAUGUAGUGUGCCCUUCCCCCUCUCUUGGCAAAUUCAUCCGUUUAGAAGUAGAGUAUGAACCAAAUCAGCCAAUUAGUGUCUUCAUUGGGUCUGUUUAUUGGAUAGAGUUUGGGAGAGCAGUAUAUGAAGUCUCACUCUGUGUGUGUGUGUGUGUGUGUGUGUGUGUGUGUGUGUGUGUGCUUGAACACACUUGAACAGAUAUCAUGACACACGAGGACACAUUUGUGUGGAGUCUGUUCUUUAUACCUUUCUAUGGACCCUUCAGAUCAGAUUCAGGGCUCUGGGCUUGCAAGGCAAGUGCCCUUACCCACUGAGCCUUUGUGCCAGCCCCUACCCACAGCUCUGCUUUUCUUUCUUUU